ACGUACCCCCCGUUCCCAUGCCGAACACGGAAGUUAAGCUCUUCAGCGCCGAUGGUAGUCGGGGGUUUCCCCCUGUGAGAGUAGGACGCCGCCAAGC
rnacentral:rRNA from 1 species